rnacentral:misc_RNA from 1 species
ACUUUCCUUUUUGUGAUUUCCAUCAUGGACACCAACUCAUGGUCUCUCUCACCAUAUGCUAGCACCCAUCCUCCCUCUUUCCACGGAGUACCCCAGGGAAACCCUCAGUAUGUGUCUCUGACCGACAACUUCCGAUGCCCCGUGUGUCGGGGGGUUCUCCGUGAGGCCGUACAGACCCGCUGUGGACACAGGGCGUGCGCUCAGUGUGUCAGGGACCUUCUAGCGGGGAAUCCCGGGGGAGUGGUCCCGUGCCCGGUCAGUGACGACACGUGUGUUGUUCUGAAGGAGGAGGAGAUUCACAGAGAUGUCAGCAUGAGGAGAGAGAUCCACAAGUUAGAAGUGUACUGCAACUUCCGGAAUGAAGGGUGUCGGGAGAUUCUUCCGUGGAAUGCACUAGAGUUUCACCUGAAGUCGUGUGAGUUUAGAGCCACCCCCUGCCUCUUUAUGAGCUCGGGAUGUCCGGUCGUGACCCCCCACAGAGACAAGGAGGGUCAUGCUGACCAGUGUGAAUACCGACCAGUCACGUGCACUCAUUGUUCUCAACAGCAAACCUUCAGAUCUCUAAAGAGUCAUGAGGAAACCGAAUGCCCCCGUGUGGUUGUCCAGUGUCCAAAUAGCUGUGGAUCAGAAUCUUGCCCCAGACAAAAGAUGGAAAUUCACAUAGAGAAAGAAUGUCCAAAAAGACCACAAGUGUGCAAGUAUCAAACAAUGGGAUGUGUGUACACAGGUGAAGAGGCGGACCUGUUGAGGCACACAGAGGUUUCCCGGGAUAACCACGCCUACCUGACGGCGCAACAUUCACAUCAGGUCGCACUUGACACGGCAGGGUGUCGAAAAGAUAUCCAAGAAAUCAACUCCAGUUUACAAACUCUGACGGAAAGAAUGACUGAUCAGUCCAGACAAAUGGAGUCAUUAAUAAGCGCACUGGACGGAUUCAAACACACACUUAAAACCAUCAAAAUAAAAGCAGUUUCACAAACAGAAAGACUCAUAACCUUAGAGAGGAGAGUUGACAACAUGGCAGAUAAGGAGCUGGUAGAGAAGCAGGGGAGGAGCGUCAUAUUACUGACAGAGAGACAGGAGACACUGGAACAGCGUGUCACUCACCUAGAGAGGGCGGGGCCAUCAGGCGGAGAGGGCGGAGCUUGUCAGCCUCGAGGAGAGAGCGACCGACGCCUAGCCUUACUGGAUGCUAGAUUUGCGGACAUUGACCUACGAAUGCAGGUUAUAGAGACAGUGAAUUACGGUGGGGUCUUGAUGUGGAAGAUAAGAGACUACAACCAAAGAAAGCAAGACGCAAAGGCAGGGAAGACAAACUCUCUGUACAGCCAACCUUUCUACACAGGACCGUACGGGUACAAGAUGUGUGCUCGUGUUUAUCUAAAUGGGGACGGGAUGGGUAAAGGAACACACUUGUCUCUAUUCUUUGUCGUUCAGAAAGGUGAAUAUGAUGCCCUGUUGCCCUGGCCAUUCAAACAGAAAGUGACCCUGAUGUUAUUGGAUCAGCAGAAUGGAUCGCGCCAUGUCGUGGAUUCUUUCAGACCGGAUACCACAAGCUCUAGUUACCAACGACCGGUGACGGAAAUGAACAUAGCUUCCGGGUGUCCAUUGUUUAUAAGUCACGUGGUGUUGGAGACUCCCACCUAUCUAAGAGAUGACACGAUCUUCAUCAAAGUUGUAGUUGACAGUGAAGGUCUUAAACAGCACUAGAGUGGAGUGAAAGUCGACUAAGUGUUAUGUGUUCUUAUUGCAGUGUUGCUUACUUGUGGAUUCUUUCAUCCCCUUGUCUCCUUUAAAACUUGAAAUAAAGAUGAUUAAAUAUUG